AAUCAGAAUUCGGUUUCACAGCUGAUUCAAUUUUCUGUCAGGGGUUCAGGUGCUUCCUCGUCAUCAGUUCCUAUGGGGUAUAACUCUAUUCAAUUGUCUUCUGCACCGUUCCCUCCAGUUAGCCCAUCACCCUGGGGGGCACCGUCAGCCACGGCCGGUCAAAAUCAAUCGGCCAAUCAGGGAAACCCUCAAUUCCAGACAUCCUUCCAGGCGGCCAUUCGGCCAAC
rnacentral:lncRNA from 1 species